rnacentral:lncRNA from 1 species
UUUUCUUUAUGUGUUUCUUCUACCAUGUUUCUCAUACUCUGUUCUUUGUAUGUUUCUUAUUAAGUUUUUUCCACUAUGUUCUUAAUAAGUUUCUUCUACUAUUCUUCAUUAUAUGUUUCUCCUGCUCUGUUCUGAUUAAUUUUCUUCUACUAUGUUUCUUAUUAGCUUCUUCUACUAAGUUUCUCCGAGCUCUUUUACUGUGUCUCACAUGAUCUUCGUUUACUAUGCUUUUCAUGAGUUUCUGCUACUGAAAGAGCAUGUUUAAGGUCUCAGUUCCUUUCUAAAACCUUUGAACUUGUUUCAAUUAGUACCUUUUUCCUUGAUUUCUUGUCCUCUCAUCUCUAUGCUCGAUUGACGCUAAAACCACUAGAAUUUGGGGGUUCAUCUGAGUUUUGAGACCAUUGGCUAUGUGAUUUUCUUGAACUUGUUUGAUUUCAAAGCCCUUAACUCUUUUGAACCGAUUUCGAGUUUCUGAACUUGUUUCAUCUAUGGCUCAACGGAGUAUUGAAAUCUUUGUUUCAACCUUUGUUUCUUUAAGCGAUUCUGAUUCCCUAUUAAACUCUUCUAAGGUCCUUAUACUAGAUCCUUUUGUAUGUUGUUUGAUACUAUAUCUUCUACACUACUGACCUAUGUGACGACAUGAUCCUACAUUUUAUUACCUACUUAUUUUGCAAUUGCAUGACGUGUUUCUUUGCCCUAAAUUUAGCCUAGCAUAUUUGUGUGCUCUUUAUAUGUAUUGAACUUCCCUCUAAAAAUGGCUUUCAAUUUUGAUUAAUUUCAGACUUCUAUCGUAUAAGUUUGAUUGAUUUCUUUUCCUGUUUGCUGAUUUCCCUAUUACUUGAUUUGAGUCGAAAACUUUCCUUAGACUAUUCAUGAGUUAGUAAUGUCAACCCUCUGAUCUAUUGAUUUACUAUAUACUGAUUGAUCUUUACCCUAUUUGUUUCAACCGAGUGUUUUAAAAUUCUUCCCUUAAUUAGAACUCCUACGUACUUACCUCUAAUUGCAUACUUUGCACAAGAUGUUUAUUUGAUUUCUUUCCUUAAAUAGUUUUUACCGUUUGAGUUUGAAUUCCUUAAUUAAAAGAAGUCUUAUGCUGAUUGUUUAAUUGAUACCCAGUUCCAUAAUUAUUAUUCCUUGCCUUAUUUCUGCCUUCUUUUCACACUGUAAAUAUCGACUCUUUCAUUGACACAAACACACCAUUACUUGUAGUCUUCAUAACUUACACUUACACUCAAAUGUAUUCUCUCUUGUUGCUUGUAUUGUGGCCUGUUUACAAGUCCUACUACCUGCAUUUCUCUAUUUGCUUCUUUGAAACUGGUAUAUCCUUAUUUAAGCUCUUUUAGCACCACAACAAUGUGUUCAUUUACUGUUUUUGUAUCUCUGUCUGCUUACUGUUUCUGUAUGGUCCAAUGCUACUAAUUUCUUUUUUGCCUGUUCUAUUAUGAAUCCCAAACCCCUCCCCUAUGUGUUCACGCUAUGGUUUGAGUCAUGGCAAUAUUCAAAUUAUUGUCCAUGAAUUAAACUUGUUCCCUUGGGAUCCUAGCCUCUAACAGUAUGUGUUCUGGAAAGCUUAUAAAAGUGCUAGCACUCUUCAUGGCUAGGCACGCCUAAAGUUUGUCCUGGCUUAAGCAAUAGGUUCUUCACAAUCCUCGUGCUCCUCUGAACCCCUUAUGUGUGUUUAUUAGUAGUUGUUUCCCUCUAAUUUUCCCCUUUAGCAUUCAAUUCUACACUAGCACUCUCCCUUAGUCUUCAAGUUCUGCCCCCCCCCCCUUGUGAGCCUUGCCUGGGGACCCUUUGAGUUCCCUCUGAACUUGGACACUUGGGGGUUGGCCCUUACACGCUACACUUGUCCUAAUCUAACAAUACAUUUGAGUGUAAGCAUUGCUCGGAAUCCUUUUGAGGCUCUUAGGGAACUUUAAAACACUCAAAUGGGAGAAAGGCUUUGGAUCAUGAUCUCAUGGAGUUGGUUUACCUCAUAUUUCAGACAUGAAGUCUGAUUCAAGAUCUCAUUUAGUUGUACUUUUACUUUUCUGAUGUAUUUUUUUACUUUAUUUUAGGUUGUAAUGAUUUGUA